rnacentral:rRNA from 1 species
UAGGGAAUCUUCCACAAUGGGCGCAAGCCUGAUGGAGCAACACCGCGUGAGUGAAGAAGGGUUUCGGCUCGUAAAACUCUGUUGUUGAAGAAGAACGUGCGUGAGAGUAACUGUUCACGCAGUGACGGUAUUCAACCAGAAAGUCACGGCUAACUACGUGCCAGCAGCCGCGGUAAUACGUAGGUGGCAAGCGUUAUCCGGAUUUAUUGGGCGUAAAGCGAGCGCAGGCGGUUACUUAAGUCUGAUGUGAAAGCCUUCGGCUUAACCGAAGAAGUGCAUCGGAAACUGGGUGACUUGAGUGCAGAAGAGGACAGUGGAACUCCAUGUGUAGCGGUGGAAUGCGUAGAUAUAUGGAAGAACACCAGCGGCGAAGGCGGCUGUCUGGUCUGCAACUGACGCUGAGGCUCGAAAGCAUGGGU